rnacentral:lncRNA from 1 species
CAGCCUAUUUGACAGCUCUAGUUCAAACCAACUGAUUUAUCCUUAUCUUUAAACCUUUGAUGCCAAUUUUCUUACUUCAGCUCAGAACCAUAAGACCUUGAAACGUCAUCUAAUCAAGAAACGUUCCCGCGAACUCUUUCAAAUCCAACGCCUAACUGUUGAUGUGUAACUUUGUGUUCAACCUCAAAAUCCUACUUUAACUAAUCUGGUCUUCUUAAAACUAGAAUCCUAUAUUGAUAGCUUAACAUAAGUCUCAAAGAUUAUCAAACUCUCUUUAUUAAUUUAGGAAAAUCACUCAAAACCUAAACUCUCACAAAGUAAUCUCUAAGCUCACAAGUUCAUGGCACACCUCACCAUC